rnacentral:tRNA from 1 species
CCUGGGAUAGCUCAGUUGGUAGAGCAUGAGACUCUUAAUCUCAGGGCAAACAAAUUCCAGCA